GACGAACGCUGGCGGCGUGCUUAACACAUGCAAGUCGAACGGUGAAGCGCCUUCCUUUUUGGUGGCUGUGGAUGAGUGGCAAACGGGUGAGUAACACGUGAGUAACCUGCACCCUUCUUCUGGAUAACCGCAUGAAAGUGUGGCCAAUACGGGAUAUUCUGGGCCUGUCUCAUGAUGGGUCUGGGUAAGAUAUUGUUUCGGUGGGGGCUGCGCUGCCGGCCUGUGGGCUUGUGGGUGGGGUGCUGGCCUACGACGGCGGUGACGGGUAGCAGGCCUGGGAGGGUGGACGGUCACACUGGGACUGAGACACGGCCCAGACUCAUACGGGACGCAGAAGUGGGGAAUAGUGAGCAAUGGGCGCAAGCCUGAUGCAGCGACGCCGCGUGAGGGAUGGAGGCGUUCGGGUUGUGAACCUCUUUGGCCAGUGAAGCAGGCCUGCCUCGUUUGUGGGUGGGUUGACGGUAGCUGGAUAAGAAGCGCCGGCUAACUACGUG
rnacentral:rRNA from 1 species